rnacentral:rRNA from 1 species
UCGCCUUUUGUAUUAAACUAGAAGGUCUGGCCUGCCCACUGUGAUUAAAGGGCCGCAGUAUUUUGACUGUGCAAAGGUAGCAUAAUCAUUAGUCUUUUAAUUGAAGGCUGGCAUGAAUGGUUGGAUGAGGUAAAAGCUGUCUCUUAUAAGUGAUAUAAAAUUUAGCUUCUUAGUCAAAAGGCUAAGAUUUAAUUAGAGGACGAGAAGACCCUAUAGAUCUUUAUAAAAUUAUAUAAUAUUAAAAGAUGAGUUUGGGUUUCAUAAAUUUUAUUUGGUUGGGGUGACAAGGAAAUAGUUUAACUUUCUUAAGAUAUAACAUUGAUUAGUGAAUAAGGGAUCCAUAUAUUAUGAUUGAAAGAGUAAGUUACCUUAGGGAUAACAGCAUAAUCUUCUUAGAGAGUUCUAAUCGAUAAGAGGGGUUGUGACCUCGAUGUUGGACUAAGAUUUACUUUAGGUGCAGCAGCUUAAACUAAUGGUCUGUUCGACCAAUAAUAUCUUACAUG